rnacentral:rRNA from 1 species
ACGGCGGACGGGUGAGUAACGCGUGGUAACCUACCCUGUACACACGGAUAACAUACCGAAAGGUAUGCUAAUACGGGAUAAUAUAUUUGAGAGGCAUCUCUUAAAUAUCAAAGGUGAGCCAGUACAGGAUGGACCCGCGUCUGAUUAGCUAGUUGGUAAGGUAACGGCUUACCAAGGCGACGAUCAGUAGCCGACCUGAGAGGGUGAUCGGCCACAUUGGAACUGAGACACGGUCCAA